UUUGAUGGCGACCUGCGCACGGGUGAGUAACACGUAUCCAACCUGCCGAUAACUCGGGGAUAGCCUUUCGAAAGAAAGAUUAAUACCCGAUGGCAUAAUAGAACCGCAUGGUUUGAUUAUUAAAGAAUUUCGGUUAUCGAUGGGGAUGCGUUCCAUUAGGCAGUUGGUGGGGUAACGGCCCACCAAACCUUCGAUGGAUAGGGGUUCUGAGAGGAAGGUCCCCCACAUUGGAACUGAGACACGGUCCAA
rnacentral:rRNA from 1 species